rnacentral:rRNA from 1 species
CCUACGGGUGACAGCAGUGAGGAAUAUUGGUCAAUGGACGAGAGUCUGAACCAGCCAAGUAGCGUGAAGGAUGACUGCCCUAUGGGUUGUAAACUUCUUUUAUAUGGGAAUAAAACGUUCCACGUGUGGGAUUUUGUAUGUACCAUAUGAAUAAGGAUCGGCUAACUCCGUGCCAGCAGCCGCGGUAAUACGGAGGAUCCGAGCGUUAUCCGGAUUUAUUGGGUUUAAAGGGAGCGUAGGUGGAUUGUUAAGUCAGUUGUGAAAGUUUGCGGCUCAACCGUAAAAUUGCAGUUGAAACUGGCAGUCUUGAGUACAGUAGAGGUGAGCGGAAUUCGUGGUGUAGCGGUGAAAUGCUUAGAUAUCACGAAGAACUCCGAUUGCGAAGGCAGUUCACUGGACUGCAACUGACACUGAGGCUCGAAAGUGUGGGUAUCAAACAGGAUUAGAUACCCUGGUAGUC